rnacentral:rRNA from 1 species
AGGGUUUGAUUAUGGCUCAGGAUGAACGCUAGCGGCAGGCUUAACACAUGCAAGUCGAGGGGUAACAGGGAUUGCUUGCAAUCCGCUGACGACCGGCGCACGGGUGCGUAACGCGUAUGCAACCUACCUUCUACAGGGGAAUAGUCAAUAGAAAUGUUGAAUAAUACCCCAUACGAUCUUUGAAUAGCAUUAUUUAGAGAAGAAAGUUCCGGCGGUAGAAGAUGGGCAUGCGUCCUAUUAGUUAGUUGGAGAGGUAAUGGCCCCCCAAGACAUCGAUAGGUAGGGGUCCUGAGAGGGAGACCCCCCACACUGGUACUGAGACACGGACCAGACUCCUACGGGAGGCAGCAGUGAGGAAUAUUGGACAAUGGAGGCAACUCUGAUCCAGCCAUGCCGCGUGCAGGAAGACUGCCCUAUGGGUUGUAAACUGCUUUUAUACAGGAAGAAAUGUACCUACGUGUAGGUAUUUGACGGUACUGUACGAAUAAGGAUCGGCUAACUCCGUGCCAGCAGCCGCGGUAAUAC